AGUGAACGCUGGCGGUAGGCCUAACACAUGCAAGUCGAACGGCAGCACAGUAAGAGCUUGCUCUUACGGGUGGCGAGUGGCGGACGGGUGAGGAAUACAUCGGAAUCUACUUUUUCGUGGGGGAUAACGUAGGGAAACUUACGCUAAUACCGCAUACGACCUACGGGUGAAAGCAGGGGGUCUUCGGACCUUGCGCGAUUGAAUGAGCCGAUGUCGGAUUAGCUAGUUGGCGGGGUAAGGGCCCACCAAGGCGACGAUCCGUAGCUGGUCUGAGAGGAUGAUCAGCCACACUGGAACUGAGACACGGUCCAGACUCCUACGGGAGGCAGCAGUGGGGAAUAUUGGACAAUGGGCGCAAGCCUGAUCCAGCCAUACCGCGUGGGUGAAGAAGGCCUUCGGGUUGUAAAGCCCUUUUGUUGGGAAAGAAAAGCAGCAGGUUAAUACCCCGCUGUUCUGACGGUACCCAAAGAAUAAGCACCGGCUAACUUCGUG
rnacentral:rRNA from 1 species